GUGCUCGCUUCGGCAGCACAUAUACUAAAAUUGGAACGAUACAGAGAAGAUUAGCAUGGCCCAUGCGAAAGGAUGACAUGCAAAUUCGUGAAGUGGUCCAUAUUUUU
rnacentral:snRNA from 1 species